rnacentral:rRNA from 1 species
CCUACGGGUGGCAGCAGUGGGGAAUAUUGCGCAAUGGGGGAAACCCUGACGCAGCAACGCCGCGUGCAGGAAGAAGGUCUUCGGAUUGUAAACUGUUGUCGCAGGGGAAGAAGACAGUGACGGUACCCUGUGAGAAAGUCACGGCUAACUACGUGCCAGCAGCCGCGGUAAUACGUAGGUGACAAGCGUUGUCCGGAUUUACUGGGUGUAAAGGGCGCGUAGGCGGGAUAGCAAGUCAGUCGUGAAAUGCCGAGGCUUAACCUCGGAGCUGCGAUUGAAACUGUUAUUCUUGAGUAUCGGAGAGGAAAGCGGAAUUCCUAGUGUAGCGGUGAAAUGCGUAGAUAUUAGGAGGAACACCAGUGGCGAAGGCGGCUUUCUGGACGACAACUGACGCUGAGGCGCGAAAGUGUGGGGAGCAAACAGGAUUAGAUACCCCUGUAGUC